CAGGAACUUCUUCUCUGGGCAAAGGGGCCCCUCUCCUUCCUCCUCCUCUUCCCCCUCCGGCUCCUCCGCCUCUCCCACCAGGCCGGCCAGUCCCAGCGCCUGUGGCCAGUGGAGACAGGUCAGCCGGCAGCAUCUCCGCAGGGCCGCGGAGCUGGCACAGAGGCUAGCAGGGGAAGGUGGGGUCAGGGCCAUCCGGGAGCAACGCCUGCCCGCAGCUCUCCUGGCGCAGGGGACCAUGACGGGUGAGUCCUCCAUCCCUCUGGAAACUUGAAACUAGAGAAGGGGACCUCGGCCUCCCAUCUUCCAGGGCCUCUGCAAGGACUCCGGGCCUCGUGUGAAUUAUAGAUGAUGAGAAUCUCCGUCUAAGUCAAGAAGAGUUCCUUCGGGAAGUAUCAAAUGAAGGUUCUAGUGAUGAAAGAGACUUGGGACAUAGUCAACUGGCAGCAUUCUUCUCUUCCCUGAGUGACAUCUUUUACAAUGGAUCACACCGUAGAUUUGACAAGAUAUGGGGUAACAACAACCAUGGCCAACAGGCUUACCAGGAGCCUGUCGUGGUUAUAAGAACUCCAUGCUUGGGUUCCUAGGGGCUCAGUCAGUUCAGCAUCAGACUCUUGGUUUCGGCUCAGGUCAUGAUCCCAGGGUCCUGGGAUUGAGCCCCGCAUCGAGCUCCCUGCUCAGCGGGGAACCUGCUUCUCCCUCUCCCUCUGCCUGCCUCUCCCCCUGCUUGUGCGCUCUCUCUCUCUCUGUGUGUCAAAUGAAUUUUUUCUUUUUUUUUAAAGUACUUUACACUAAUUGACUUAUUUGUGUUGGACUAAAAUGUGACGUAAGGACUAAGAGUCUCUAAUUCACACGGGAGGAAACCAAGACUCAGAGAGGUGACUAAUUUGCCCGAAGUCACAUAGCUCUUCAGUAGAAUCAAGUGAAGGAAUGCAGUGGGGCCAGUGUGCAAAGAGCAAGGAGCUCAUGGCCACUACGAGCCAGUCUCACCAGGCAAUGGGAAGGCGUCCAGGAUUGCUCACGGAAGAUCACAGUCAUUGUUCAGCCUCCUGAGACGCACGUGGAAAUGCAGAUAAUCCGCUCAGAGAGUUGUUAUGAGGAUUCCAGGAGCUGGGGCCCCGCUGAAGCAUGCAUUAAAUGGUCCCCGGCGUGGUUGUUA